CUACUAUUGUAGGUCAGCCAUGAUGUCACUUAGGUAAUUGACAUCAGCACGUACGUACUAUAGUCGGUUCAGUAGGCUAUAUAAAGGACCGAUGCCCGUCGCUGUAAGAUCAUUCCAUUCCAAUCAAAGCAAGGCAAUCAGCCUCAAGCAGUACUCCUCUUGGUGUGUGUGUAUGUGUCUUGUGUUGCACUAGUGAGUGCGUGUGUUACUAGUGAGUUGAGUGCAAGUACUACCGUUAGAUAGUCAGGACCCUCUGGUCUCAGUAGUUCUGGGCUAACAACGCGCCGGUGCCCAGGCGCCUUGCAUCCAUCUACAGCGAGGUGCAGACGAGCCGCAUCGCGCACACGCUGCCCCUCCCCUCCAUCCUCCGCUCCCACUUCACGCUCGCCGACGAGCCGGCCAGCACCGCCGCUAGAAGCCCCGAUGAGAUAGCCAAGCUGUUCUCCAGCCUGCACGGCCGCUGUCCACGGCCGUGCUGCCGUCGGCCGAGCCCGUCGCGACGAAGCCGCUCAAGAUCGGCAUCGUGCUUCCUGGUGGCCAGGUUCCAGGGGGACAAUGGAUCGACUUCUUUGUGUAACAGAUUACCUGCAGGAGGGUGCCAAAGGCAGCACCAUGUAUGGAUUAAGGGAGGCCCGCUGGUGUCAUGAAGGGCAACUACGUCGAGCUGACUGCUGAUUUCGUGUACCCCUACGGAAACCAGUACAAUGAGAACUGGUAAAUUCAAGGACUUUGGUUAUAACCAUUUGCAAAACUGGAAGUGGCUCAUCAGUAGAGAUUCUGUUGAGUCGUCAGAGAUUCAGAAUUCUUGCUGUAUCAUGGGUGCACUAUCAGAGAUGGUGAAUGCUUUAGACGCUCUAAGCUUUUUUUCCCCGGGGGAGGGGGCCUGAGAGGGGUUAGCUUCUAUUGGUUCCUCUGUUCACUUUUUUUUCUGACGAGAGGUUCUGCAAGUUCCCUCAGUGAAGCCUUAUGUCCAAGAAUAAAUUACCUACGUUUGAGUGCGAGUAAUGUACAACAGUUUGUAAUUUUUCAUUUGUAUUUUUUCCUCGAACAAGAAUUGGUGGUUGGUAUUCAGUUAUUUUUUAUAUGCCGACAAUGUUUUUUCUGCAUAUCGAUUAACUGUCCGUUUACAUAAAGAAAGAAGUUUGUGAUUCUCUGAGCCAA